rnacentral:rRNA from 1 species
GGCCUAUCAGCUAGUUGGUGGGGUAACGGCCUACCAAGGCGACGACGGGUAGCCGGCCUGAGAGGGCGACCGGCCACACUGGGACUGAGACACGGCCCAGACUCCUACGGGAGGCAGCAGUGGGGAAUCUUGCGCAAUGGGCGAAAGCCUGACGCAGCGACGCCGCGUGGGGGAUGAAGGCCUUCGGGUUGUAAACCCCUUUCAGCAGGGACGAAGCGAAAGUGACGGUACCUGCAGAAGAAGCGCCGGCUAACUACGUGCCAGCAGCCGCGGUAACACGUAGGGCGCAAGCGUUGUCCGGAAUUAUUGGGCGUAAAGAGCUCGUAGGCGGACUGUCACGUCUGCUGUGAAAAGCUGGGGCUUAACCCUGGCCUUGCAGUGGAUACGGGCAGACUAGAGGUAGGUAGGGGAGAAUGGAAUUCCCGGUGUAGCGGUGAAAUGCGCAGAUAUCGGGAGGAACACCGGUGGCGAAGGCGGUUCUCUGGGCCUUACCUGACGCUGAGGAGCGAAAGCGUGGGGAGCG